UCACCGCUACAGUGCCGGCCCCACCACAGCGUGGCAGGUUGGAGUGGUCCUGUUUCAUACGCUCCACAGGAACGCAUUUUUUGAGACCCUCGCGUUCCUUGAAAAUGGCGUGACGUUCAACGAGAGGAUGUCCAAAGAUUGCAAGGAUUUCUUGCAAAUGUGUCUGACUGAAGACCCCGAACAGCGCCUGACCCUGGAGCAGCUCAAGCAUCACCCAUGGCUCAGAUAAACCAACCCGGAAUACACACGUCCUCGCCAUACGAUACUCAAGUCUUCCAAGUACUAAUGCUGCUCUAUCUUUGACAGGAAGAAUGUGAGGAACCGGGGUGGCCAGCCUGUGAUAGGCUGGCAAGGUCACCGGCCUGUGAUAGGCUGGUGAGGUCACCGGCCUGUGAUAGGCUGGCGAGGAAGAACGUGAGGAACCGGAAUGGCCAGCCUGUGAUAGGCUGGCGCUACAGGGCCAGCCCCAUGUGGUUCUGUUUGAACGACGAUGGCCUGGCAACCCGGUCAACAGCCUGUGAUGGCAUGGCGACCCGGUCAACAGCCUGUGAUGGCAUGGCGACCCGGCCACCAGCCUCUGAUGGCCUGGCGACCGGUCACCAGCCUGUGAUGGCAUGGCGACCCGGCCGCCAGCCUGUGAUGGCCUGGCAACCCGGCCGCCAGCCUUUGAUGGCCUGGCGACCCGGUCACCAGCCUGU